CUUAACGGUAGAAGGGCCUUGGAUACGGGACGCCUUGAGUGCAGCAGAGGCCGGUGGAGUUCGUGGUGUAGCGGUGAAAUGCAUAGAUAUCACGAAGAACACCAGUAGCGAAAGCGGCCGGCUGGGCUGUCACUGACGCUGAGGUACGAAAGCGUGGGGAGCGAACAGGAUUAGAUACCCUGGUAGUCCACGCUGUAAACGAUGCACACUAGGUGUUGGCCCUGCGGGGUCAGUGCCGCAGCUAACGCGUUAAGUGUGCCACCUGGGGAGUACGUUCGCAAGAAUGAAACUCAAAGGAAUUGACGGGGGCCCGCACAAGCGGUGGAGCAUGUGGCUUAAUUCGAUGCAACGCGAAGAACCUUACCCGGGCUAAAUCUGAGCCGACCGGCCUUGAAAGAGGCCUUCCCUUCGGGGCGG
rnacentral:rRNA from 1 species